GAAAUGCGAUAAGUAAUGUGAAUUGCAGAAUUCAGUGAAUCAUCGAAUCUUUGAACGCACCUUGCGCUCCUUGGUAUUCCUUGGAGCAUGCCUGUUUGAGUAUCAUGAAAUCUUCAAAGUAAAUCUUUUGUUAACUCAAUUGGUUUCUACUUUGGUAUUGGAGGUCUUUGCAGCUUCACACCUGCUCCUCUUUGUUCAUUAGGUGGAUCUCAGUGUUAUGCUUGGUUCCACUCGGCGUGAUAAGUUAUCUAUCGCUGAGGACACUGUAAAAGGUGGCCAAGGUAAAUGCAGAUGAACCGCUUCUAAUAGUCCAUUGACUUGGACAAUACUUUUAUGAUCUGACCUCAAAUCAGGUAGGACUACCCGCUGAACUUAAGC
rnacentral:misc_RNA from 1 species